GUCAACGACCCGCCCUAACAGGCCAUGCGGCCGGCAAUGCGGGCGGGGCUUGGAGGGGAAUACCAAAAGGCUCGGUUGACGAGGGGCCGGGAGACCGGCAGACGUGGGUAACGGGUCGUUCAGACGCACCGGCGCAUGCUUCCCCAUGUUCGCCGCUCUGCA
rnacentral:sRNA from 17 species